GAUGAACGCUAGCGGCAGGCUUAAUACAUGCAAGUCGAGGGGCAGCGCAGUGUGGCCCUACCCGGGCGGCGACCGGCAAACGGGUGCGGAACACGUACGUAACCUACCCAUAACUGAUGAAUAGCCCCCCGAAAGGAGGAUUAAUACAUCGUAACUUAAUGAACCGGCAUCGCUUUAUUAAUAUAGCUCCUUCGGUGUUGGAUGGGCGUGCGUCCGAGUAGGUUGUUGGCGGGGUUACGGCCCACGAAGCCUGGGAUCAGGAACUGGAGUGAGAGCACGACCAGUGACACGGGGACAGAGACACGGGCCCGACUCGUACGGGAGGCAGCAGUAAGGAAUAGUGGUGAACGGACGCAAGUCUGAACCAGCCAGGGCGCGUGAAGGAUGUAGGUCCUCUGGAUUGCAAUCUUCUUUUGAAAGGGACGAAACCUAUUUAUCUUGAGAGACUGACGGUACCAGUAGAAUAAGCACCGGCUAACUCCGUG
rnacentral:rRNA from 1 species